UUCCAUGUGUCUGGGACCUGUGAACUGUAGCAGUCUCCCCUCGCAUCCAUGGAAAAGCGUAUUCUUGUUUAUUGGCAAAGCUGUCACCAUUUAAUUGGUAUCAGAUUCUGACUCGCACAAGUAACAUUC